GCGUUCCCGUGAAGGUAGUGGUGUCCCAAUUCCUCUUUUCACCUAGGGGGAGGGGGCAUAACGAGGGCUAGGGGCUGAGAAUAGCCCCUUCAAAUCGAGGGAUUUCAGAUGCUGACUUGGCGAGCGAGGGGGUAUGAAAAUCUCCCAGAAUGCUUUUCGUCGUCAUUUGCAGACUGAAUCAAAAAAAAAAAACAUGGAGGACAUUUCCUGUUUUUUUGGGAAUAAAAUCAAUAUUUUGAGUUAGUUUCUGCAUAAAAAUGCGUUUUGAUUACAUUUCCUUUUGCAAACCGAUAUUUUACUUUCAUAAUAUUCACUCAGUGAAUGUACAUAAUCCCUUUUUUGUCCGUUGUUCGCUAAGAUCGCGCCGGAAUAUGGUUACGUAACCUACGUAAGCUACGCCGUAGGCUGCGUCUAUUUAAAGCUCGCCGACCGAGGAAAAGGAAAAAGGAAAAGUUUUUUUGAGUCAAAAGGCGACCCGCAAAGAGCAGGAGGAUAUUGAAAAGAAAACACACAAAUGGACUCCGGAUCAGGUCCGACACCUAAUAAGCUUUAGGACUACCAACGAGGAGAAUUUUACUAAGAAGAAAUAUGCUGCUAAACCACUGUGGGAGUGAGUGAUCUAGCUAUCUGCUUGCAGAAUAUCUGUGAUGGGGUGUGAUGGUAUAACUACUAUUCAUCACUGAAAAUCUUAAAAAAAAAUAUAAGACAGUGGGGAGGCCACAGCAGCCUCAUGGCCUUUCUACAAAGAGAUGCAUGAGGUUUUGGGGUCCAGACCUUCAAUCCAGCCUCCAUGUUUGUUGGCGUCUUAUGAAGAUCCCACGCACUGAACAUAAUCGACCCUCCAUCCUCACCGGUGUCCUCUCUGACAAAUUCAGAGGAAAGCACAGAGAACACUUUGGAAGACGCCAGCACAUCGGCCCCAAGCUCUGCCUCACCAGCUGGAAGAGGAAGAGGAAGCUGGAAGCUUCAGGCAUCAGGUCCACUUUCCCCCCGAUCCCCCCAAAAAGAAACUCUCUAUGCGGGACUUCCUUCAAGCUGAGGCCGCCAAAGAAGACAGAAAAUGUCAAAAGAAUGAAGAACACAUGGACAGGUUCAGCUUUUAGAGAAAAUGGUGGACCAGACACCUCAUCAGCAGUAGCAGCACAUACACUGCAAACUUUUUUUUUUGUAAAUAUUUCUUUGCAAUUUUUUUUAUAUGGAACAGCACCUUUCUUUGUUUUGCGUGCAAUGUUUACUUUUUUUCUUUUUAAAAAUUGUACUUGAAUAUAGAAAAU